AUAUAUAUAUAUAUUACACAAUUUAGAACACUAAAAAACAAGAUAUGUUUCAACUUAAAAUGUAUCACAUUCUUGGUAAGAAAAUGGAUUAUUACUUACGAACAAUUUUAAAAGACUUCGCGCUCAGUACGCGACACGCAGAUCGGCGACAGUCCAUUUGGGGAUCUGAAGACGACAGUAAAACAAUGUGCAUUUCAUAAGGAGAUUGACAACAGAAAAUGGAGGACAGAAAAAGACAUAUAGCGAUUACUUUGCCAUCCCAUGAGUGUUUCUUUGUGGUUAGAAGGAAGGAGUAAUACUACCGCUACUAUAUAAAUAGUAUCAAAUCUUGGGUAUAGCUACAACUAUUCUAAAUCCUGGAAUGCCACUGUUCUGGUUUUCUGAACAGAUCUAAACACACUUACAUCACUUUAUAAACAAAAGAGUCGUAUGUGUUUUAGAUUGUUAUUCUAUUUUAUUUUUCCAUAAAUAAAAUUAUACAAAUACUGAGUUUGUGUGUGUGUGUGUUUAUAACUAAUUAUUUUCUUAAAACUGUUAAAUAGCUAUGAGCAAAGGAUACCCAAGUGUAUUUCAUAUCUCAUUUACACCUUUUACCAUGUCUUUUUUUCUUCUGAUAUGACAGAUGAUAUUACGAUGAAAUAUAUUGUAACUCCACUGUCCUAAUUUUUUAAGUAGAAAAAAUACGAAGAAUUUUGUGUAACAGCAGUAACAUUUUAAAUGGCAGUGAAAGAUAAGAAAUGCAUUACGGAGUUAAAUUUCUAUUGUGUUUAUUAAAGUAUAGAAUAUUUUCAGAUGUUGAGAUGCCCAUCAUUGUAGAUAUUGAGGACAAAAAAAGGGAAAGAGGUUAAUCUACUCUUAUUAUUACUUAUCUGUCUAAUUUGUAACCGUUGGUAAUGAGAUCACCCAAAGGAACACUUCCCCAUUUUCUUUUGAGGUGUUUGAGUAUCAAGUAACAUUAUAGUUAGUAAGGCAAUUAUGUGCCAUUUUCCCUUUCAUCCUUGGUUGGUUCUAAAUAUUAAUGAUAAACUUCCAUCUCUUAAUGGGACUGUCAAUAGUUUGUAUAAAAUACUAACUUAUGAACAAAAUACUUUAAAAAAGAAGUAUAAAAUUGAUAAAUUAAAUAUGGGGGUGCACAUUACUAUAACAAAGAUAGGAUUGUUUGUUUGUUUUAUAAUUUCGCGCAAAGCUACACGAGAGCUA